rnacentral:rRNA from 1 species
CGGCCCACCAAGGCUACGACGGGUACCUGGUCUGAGAGGACGAUCAGGCACACUGGAACUGAGACACGGUCCAGACACCUACGGGUGGCAGCAGUCGAGAAUAAUUCACAAUGGGGGCAACCCUGAUGGUGCAACGCCGCGUGGAGGAUGAAGGUCUUCGGAUUGUAAACUCCUGUCAUCCGGGAGCAAGACCUGACGGUGAAUAGCCGGCAGGGUUGAUAGUACCGGAAGAGGAAGGGACGGCUAACUUCGUGCCAGCAGCCACGGUAAUACGAAGGUCCCGAGCGUUGUUCGGAAUCACUGGGCGUAAAGGGAGCGUAGGCGGCGUGGUAAGUCAGAUGUGAAAUCCCGGGGCUCAACCCCGGAACUGCAUCCGAUACUGCCGUGCUAGAGGAUUGGAGAGGUAGCUGGAAUUCACGGUGUAGCAGUGAAAUGCGUAGAUAUCGUGAGGAACACUCGUGGCGAAAGCGAGCUACUGGACAACUCCUGACGCUGAGGCUCGAAGGCCAGGGUAGCGAAAGGGAUUAGAUACCCCUGUAGUCCUGGCAGUAAACGGUGCACGCUUGGUGUGAGGGGAAUCGACCCCCCUUGUGCCGGAGCAAACGCGUUAAGCGUGCCGCCUGGGAAGUACGGUCGCAAGACUAAAACUCAAAGAAAUUGACGGGGACCCGCACAAGCGGUGGAGUAUGUGGCUUAAUUUCGAUGCAACGCGAAGAACCUUACCAAGGCUUGACAUGGAUUUCUAAGCACGUGAAAGCGUGUGACCCUUCGGGGACUUCCACAGGUGCUGCAUGGCCGUCGUCAGC